AUUUGUUAAUUUAAAAAACUUAGAACUAAAUUUAUCGCUUUUGAAACUCUGUGGUUUAAUUUAUUUGGUACACUCCCUAAUCUAUGAGGUUUAAAAUGUAAUUUUACUUCUUUUCUCUUACCGUAAAGAUAGGCAGGUAAUUAAUGUCAAUAGAAAGUUAGAAAGUAGAAACCACUAGAAGUCAGGGAAUGAAGCGAAUGAGAAGGCAGAGUGGCUCAAUCAAUAAUUCAAAUUACACAUUUUAAUUGCUUUUAAACAGUGGUGGGGCAGGAAUUUGUCUUGGAGGGCGCAUAUAGAAAUGAAACGACUAAUC